GACGAACGCUGGCGGCGUGCCUAAUACAUGCAAGUUGAGCGAUGAAGCUUGGUGCUUGCACCCAUUUGAAGAGCAGCGAACGGGUGAGUAACGCGUGGGGAAUCUGCCUUUGAGCGGGGGACAACAUUUGGAAACGAAUGCUAAUACCGCAUAACAACUUUAAACAUAAGUUUUAAGUUUGAAAGAUGCAAUUGCAUCACUCAAAGAUGAUCCCGCGUUGUAUUAGCUAGUUGGUGAGGUAAAGGCUCACCAGGGCGAUGAUACAUAGCCGACCUGAGAGGGUGAUCGGCCACAUUGGGACUGAGACACGGCCCAAACUCCUACGGGAGGCAGCAGUAGGGAAUCUUCGGCAAUGGACGAAAGUCUGACCGAGCAACGCCGCGUGAGGGAAGAAGGUUUUCGGAUCGUAAAACUCUGUUGGUAGAGAAGAACGUUGGUGAGAGUGGAAAGCUCAUCAAGUGACGGUAACUACCCAGAAAGGGACGGCUAACUACGUG
rnacentral:rRNA from 1 species